rnacentral:rRNA from 1 species
CCUACGUGUGGCUGCAGUGGGGAAUAUUGGACAAUGGGGGGAACCCUGAUCCAGCGACGCCGCGUGAGUGAAGAAGUAUUUCGGUAUGUUAAGCUCUAUCAGCAGGGAAGUAAGAAAUGACGGUACUUGACUAAGAAGCCCCGGCUAACUACGUGCAAGCAGCCGCGGUAAUACGUAGGGUGCAAGCGUUAUCCGGAUUUACUGGGUGUAAAGGGAGCGUAGACGGUUACGCAAGUCUGGAGUGAAAGGCGGGGGCCCAACCCCCGGACUGCUUUGGAAACUGUAUAACUGGAGUGCAGGAGAGGUAAGUGGAAUGCCUAGUGUAGCGGUGAAAUGCGUAGAUAUUAGGAAGAACACCAGUGGCGAAGGCGGCUUACUGGACUGUAACUGACGUUGAGGCUCGAAAGCGUGGGGAGCAAACAGGAUUAGAUACCCCAGUAGUC